CGCUCCCCGUGACCCUUCGUGCUGGGCGCGCACGCAGGGGCCCCGCGCUAGGCGGGCUCCGGCGGAGGGGCCCAGGAGGGAACUCAGGUUUAGGGGAAGGCGGGGGCGUGGCUUCCCCGCUGGGCGGGCGGCCACUUCACAGUCCCGCCUCAGUCGGCAGCUGCAGCCGCGCGCCAAAAUCAAACCCGGGUACCCGCCGGCCAGAGAGCCUGCGGUUCAAGGCGAGCUCCUCGGCGGCGGCGGCCCAGUCGCGCACACCUUUGACCACCUCCCGGCGCUCCCUGCCCGACGCGCUCGGGGCCGCCACAAGACGAGGCAUGGCCACCCCACCCAAGAGGAGCUGCCCAUCUCCCGCAGCCAGCUCUGAGGGGACCCGCAUCAAGAAAAUUUCCAUCGAAGGGAACAUCGCUGCUGGGAAGUCAACAUUUGUGAAUAUCCUUAAACAAGUCUGUGAGGAUUGGGAAGUGGUUCCUGAACCUGUUGCCAGGUGGUGCAAUGUUCAGAGUACUCAGGAUGAAUUUAAGGAACUGACAACGUCUCAGAAAAGUGGUGGGAAUGUUCUUCAGAUGAUGUAUGAGAAACCUGAACGGUGGUCUUUCACCUUCCAGUCAUAUGCCUGCCUCAGUCGAAUACGAGCUCAGCUUGCUGCUCUCAAUGGCAAGCUCAAAGAUGCAGAGGAACCUGUAUUAUUUUUUGAACGAUCUGUGUAUAGUGACAGGUAUAUUUUUGCAUCUAAUUUGUAUGAAUCUGACUGCAUGAAUGAAACAGAGUGGACCAUUUAUCAAGACUGGCAUGACUGGAUGAAUAACCAGUUUGGCCAAAGCCUUGAACUGGAUGGAAUCAUUUAUCUUCGAGCCACUCCAGAGAAAUGCUUGAAUAGAAUAUAUUUACGGGGAAGAAAUGAAGAACAAGGCAUUCCUCUUGAAUACUUAGAGAAGCUUCACUAUAAGCAUGAAAGCUGGCUCCUGCAUAGAACAGUAAAAACCAACUUUGAUUAUCUACAAGAAGUGCCUAUCUUAACACUGGAUGUUAAUGAAGACUUUAAAGACAAACAUGACAGUCUGGUUGAAAAGCAAUGACUGAGAGUUCUUAUUGCUCUACAUCCUUGCCAGCAUUUGUUGUCAGUGGUUUGGAUUUUGGCCAUUCUAAUAGUCGAAGAAUGGGCAGAAGACCUAAAUAGACAUUUCUCCAAAGACCUACAGAUGGCCAACAGGCGCAUGAAAAGAUGAUCAACAUUGCUGAUUAUUAGAGAAAUGCAAAUCAAAACUACAAUGAGGUACUACCUCCUACCGUUCAGAAUGACCAUCAUUAAAAAGUCUACAAACAACAAAUGCUGGAGAGGGUGUGGAGAAAAGAGAAGCCUCCUACACUGUUGGUGGGAAAGUAAAUUGGUGCAGCCACUUGGAAAACAGUAGGGAGUUUCCUCAAAAAACUAAAAAUAGAGUUGCCAUAUGAUCCAGCAAUCCCACUGCUGGGCGUAUAUGCAGAGAAAACCAUAAUUUGAAAAGAUACAUGUACCCCAGUGUUCAUUGCAGCACUAUUUACAAUAGCCAGGACAUGGAAGCAACCUAAGUGUCCAUCAACAGAGGAAUGGAUAAAGAAGAUGUGGCACAUAUAUACAAUGGAAUAUUACUCAGCCAUAAAAAGAAACGAAAUUGAGUUAUUUUUAGUGAGGUGGAUGGAUCUAGAAUCUGUCAUGCAGAGUGCAGUAAGUCAGAAAGAGAAAAACAAAUACCGUAUGCUAACACAUAUAUAUGGAAUCUAAAAAAAAAAAAAAAAAGGUCAUGAAGAACCUAGGGGCAAGACGGGAAUAAAGACACAGACCUACUAGAGAAUGGACUUGAGGACACGGGGAGGGGGAAGGGUAAGCUGUGACAAAGUGAGAGAGUGGCAUGGACAUAUAUACACUACCAAAUGUAAAAUAGAUAGCUAGUGGGAAGCAGCUGCAUAGCACAGGGAGAUCAGCUUGGUGCUUUGUGACCACCUAGAGGGGUGGGAUAGGGAGGGUGGGAGGGAGGGAGACGCAAGAGGGAAGAGAUAUGGGUAUAUAGGUAUAUGUAUAACUGAUUCACUUUGUUAUAAAUCAGAAACACCAUUGUAAAGCAAUUAUACUCCAAUAAAGAUGUUUAAAAAAAAAAAGAUGUGGUACAUAUAUACAAUGGAAUAUUACUCAGCAGUAAAAAAGAAUGAAGUAAUGCCAUUUGUAGCAACAUGGAUGGGCCUAGAGAUUGUCAUACUGAGUGAAGUAAGUCAGACGGAGAAAGACAAACAUCAUAUGAUAUCGCUUUUAUGUGGAAUCGAAAAACAUGGUACAAAUGAACUUAUUUACAAAAAAGAAAUAGAGCCACAGAUAUAGAAAACCAAUUUAUGGUUACCAAGGGGGAAAGGGAACAGGGAAGCAUCAACUGGGAGAUUGGGAUUGACAUAUACACACUACUAUAUAUAAAAUAGGUAACUAAUUAGAACCUAUUCUAUAAUGCAGGGAACUAUAUUCAAUACUCUGUAAUGACCUAUAGAGGAAUAGAAUCUAAAAAAGUGGAUUUAUGUAUAACUGAUUCACUUUGCUGUACAGCAGAAACUAUCACAACAUUGUAAAUCAACUAUACGCCCAUAAAAAUUAAUUUAAAAGAUGUGGUACAUAGAUACAAUGGAAUACUACACAGCCAUAAAAAAUAAAAUAAUGCCAUUUGUAGCAGCAUGGAUGGGUCUAGAGAUGAUUAUACUUAGUGAAGUAAGUCAGAAAGAGGAAGGCAAGUAUCAUAUGAUAUCACUUAUAUGUGGAAUCUAAAAUAUGACGUAAGUGAACUUAUCUACAAAACAAACAGACUCACAGACAUAGAGAACAGACUUGUGGUUGCCAAGGGGGAAAGGGAGUUAUAUAUAUAAUGGAAUCAUUUUGCUGUACAAUAGAAAUUAACACAGCAUUGUAAAUCAACUACAAUAAAAUACAUUUAAAAAAUAGGCUAUGGUUUUUAAGCAAGAUGUAUAAGGAUGUUUGUACCCCUUCCUAGAAGAUAUGUUGCAACAAAGAACUUUCAAUGUCUAUAAAUUAUCCUUAGUCUGUUUAGAAAUUGCCCUUGCUCUUUCUAUUUUCUUAUUUAAGUAAAAGAACAUUAUGAUUAGUGUUAUGAGUCCAAUAUUUCUGCCCCGGGGAAGUGAUAAAAACCAAAAUUCUGAAUUCCGUAUUGAAAAUGUAAUAAUACAGAGUUUUUAAAACUAAGAUUGGAUUAUUAGCAAAAUUUAUUGACUUUUAUGUUUAGUGAUAGAUACUUAAUGGGCAUAAAUUGAAAGUUAUAAAUUAGACUUUUGAUAUAUUAAUUUUUUCCAUUGAUUUAUAAUUUGAGUUUUUUUUUUUUUACUUGAUUUCUGUUGGCAUUGAGAAUAAACCUAAACAUUUUUCUUUUCUUUUUAAAAGUACAACACUCCCAUUAAAACAAUUUGGACAUUGCAGAAAUAUUGAAAUAAGGUAAUCCCUAGAUCCUAUCAUUCAGAGGUACCAACCUAGCAGACUGUUGCCUUCCAGCUUUAUGUACUUACAUCUACAAAGAAACAUUUUUCUUUUUUACCAAAUUGAGUUCAUGCUAUAGAUUCAAUAUUAUGUCCUGCUUUUUUUUACGUUAAAGUAUAUUGUAAAAAAAUUUCUUGCAUCUAAGUUUUUGAAAAUUUAGUUAAACCCAUAAUUUCUUGGCUCUGUAAAAUUUGAAAUGUUAGAAAAUAUGAGAAGAAAAAUAAUCUGUAAUCCUGGCACUGAGAGUUAGCUACUUACACAUUAGUAUUUCCUGCUAAACUGUUUCUUUGUUCCCACCUUCAAACAAAACUUAAAUAUCCAUGGUAACUCUUUAUUUAAUUUCUUUUGUUAAAUGAAUAAUCAUUUUGAAAAAUGAACUUCUUUAAAGAAAUUUAUCUUUAUAUAAUUAAUAUGAUUAGUAAAUUCAUAUUUUCACACUUUGUAGAACUUUUGCAUUUGUAAAGGACCUCUAAUUCGAAUUUAUUGUAACAUUUUCUCUUUAAAAUAUAUUUGUACAUGCUUACAUGUGUAUGUGAAAGUUAAGUCCUUAAGUGCUGUUUUAUGUUGGAAUCUUUAGGGAGAGAGUACAUGUGUGUGCAUGUGUGUGUGUGCACGUGUGUGACAAAUUUGAAGACACACUUUUUUAUCUGGCUGGGCUUGGGUAAGCUUCAACUUCUGUGAGCCUCAGUUUUCUCGUUUCUCAGAUUGUAAUGGUAGGACCUUUCCAAAUCUGUGAAAGGACCUCUUAAAUUAUAAAACAUACAAAUGUUAAUAGUUAUUCUUUAAGGGGCUCUAGGAAAGAAAAAUAAAAGGCAAAGGCAGUCCUUGAUUCCAUCAAGUUAUGGUCAGAUUUCCUAUCAGAGUAGGUGGAAAUUGGGUAUGGGAACCUGGCUGUAAGAAACGCAGAAUAUAGUUUUGCAUUGAGUUUCGCAUCUUUCUUAUUAGCAGAAGGUACAGAUUAUCCUAACAGAUCACAUGUCUAGAUCUUAGGGCAAGAGAGAAUGUAAUUCUUUUUGUACCAUUUUAAUUUUGAACAAGCCAUGUUUAUGGUGCCUAGCUCUUAGAAAAAAUAAAAAGAACAAGAGAGAAAUGGUAUAUCUGCCCACCACCAUCUGCUAUUUUUAGAUUGGCUAGGAAGCCCUAUUUGGCCGCCUUUGCCCAUGUCAUUUGGCAACUCUUGAGCCUGCAUCAUUUAGAGAUAAAAGAAGCUUAGAAGGUGGAAAACUGAAUUUCUUUGAUUUUCCAGUCAUCAUUGAUGAAAAAAUAUAUCACCACAAGCAAUUUGAAGGACGUUGGCUGUAAGUAAAACAAUAAGUGUUUUCAUUUAGUGAGAUGGGCUUAUGCGACACAAAAGACAUGAUGUAUUUCCACCUUUCUGCCUUAAUAUGGGGUGAAGAAUGUAUGAACCUUCUGUCCUGGUUUGAUUUUUAUUUAUUAUCAAGAGAAAUAAUAGUUUAGAAAAAGAUGUAAAUACUGUGCAUAUAUAUACAUAUACAUACAAAUAUAUGCUUAUAUAUUUUUAUGGCCUUUUAGAAUAAAAUUCUUAGAAAAGAAAGGGAAACUAUGAAUGUCAAGGAAAGAAGCACAGAAACAACCUGGGAAAUGACAGAUUUUAAGAUUAAUGUACUAAGAUGAAUUUGAAAACUAAAGAAAGUAAAUAGAGAAAUCUAAUUUUCCAUUUACUUGGAUAAAGGGACAUAAUAUUAUACCCAUGGAUCAGUUUUAAAUGAGCAUACAUUUGGGCAUUUUAUAGGUAAUAAAAUUUAACCUGUUUUAUCUGUGGUAUCUAUAAAGUGUUCUGAAACAUUUCUAUUGUUGGAUAUAGUAACUUACCAAAAGCUCUAGUAAAAGUCAGUUUAUAUAUUGUAGGUUGUUUUUCUUUUGCCUAUAUUAUUAUUUUACUAGCUUCCUACACUAACUUUCCUUUAACUGUUAAACUUUAACUGUUAAAUUAUCAUUUUCCUAUAAUUGAAGAAUUUUAUUAAAUGAGUUACCAAAUGUUAAGUGCUCAAUAAAUGUUUAUUAUUACAAUUGUGUUGAUAUUUUUAAUAUGUGCACAAAUUCUAAUGAAAUUAUAUCAUUAUACUUUCUAAUUAUAGUAGAAAGUUUAUUUAAAGCCUGUCCUAUUGCAAGCCAUAUUAAUUAUUUUACAUAGCUGUGCAUUAAAAAGAUGAAAUUCACUUUCUCAUAGCUGUUCCAAAGUUGAUAUUUUCCUCCAUCUCCAAAAGAGUUUGAGAAAAACUUAUACUAUAAUCUUAGUCUUAUGUCUAGUAGUAACGGAAAAUAAUUUUGCCUACUAGGAAAAGUUGUGGAUAUAUUGCUCUUUUUAAAUUUGUGAUUAUGAAGUCAGAAAUGAUAUAUUAAGGAGAAUCCAUUUACAAUAACUUAAAUUCAAAGAUAAAAUUUUGUUUUUCAGGUCUAACAUACUUGUAAAGAAAGUUCAGGGAACAUUUAUAAAGUGCUUUAUUGUUUGCAAAGGACAUUUACAUACUCUAUCAUUUAAUCCACACAAUAACCUUGUGAGAUAAAUAGAAGUAUUCCGUUUAAUAGAUGAGAAAACUGAGUCUCACAGAGGUCACAAUUUGAAUGUGAUAAGCCAGUAUUUCUACAAGAGACUGGAUCACUGGAAAGGAUUCUGUAGAAAUGGUGCUUGCACAAAAGGGAACUUGUAAGGGAUCCUAGGGUGUCCUUUCAAAACUACAUUUCUGUGAUUUGUAUAGUUUUAGGUGGGAGGCAACAUGAUAUAGUAGGAAACACCUGGGAGGACCUAAAUUUACUAUAUCCUGGCCUUGAGCAAGUAAUUCAGCCUCUCUGAACCUCAAUUCCUCAUAUGUAACACAGGAACAUUUUUUAUUAACUUGAAGUGUUUUUUUUUAAAAUAUAUUUUUAUUAGAGUAUAAUUGCUUUACAAUGUUGUGUUAGUUUCUGCUGUACAACAAAGUGACUCAGCUAUAUGUAUGCAUAUAUCCCCAUAUCCCCUCCCUCUUGAGACUCCCUCCAACCCUCCCUAUCCCACCCCUCUAGGUCUGCAGUGUUAUUGAAAAGAUAAAAUGAGUUAAUGUAGAAAAGAACUAGGCACUGAACUGCUUAAUGAUAGAACUAUUGUUAAUACAUAUAAAUCCAAAUACAGUAACCCUUCCAACAUAGCACCGUAGCCACAUAGCCCAUUAAAGCCAUACUUUUGAAGGGGAGUAUAGUGUUACUAAUCAGCAACUGUUUUUGGUAAAUGAGGAAAAUGAAUGGGGAAUUUAUUGAAGAUGUUAAAACAGAGAAGGGAAUUGCAUAGAAUGGAACCCAUGGAUAUAUAUUUGAGGUAGAAAGUAAAAUCUCAAUGAAAGCAAUACAGAUGGAAGAAAGAACACUGCAGGACAAGAAAGAGCCUGCGACCUAGCUCAGUGGAAGCAAAAAGCAUGAGAAUCACUUGGCUAAUCCUGGGCAGACUAUUUCUGGACCGACCAUGUAUCAGAGAAGCCUCCAGGAACCUCUGUCAUUCAGGGAAAUGGAAAGUUUCAGCAGUGGAGUGGAAUUGCUGAUGUUGGACUUGGGCUUUAUAAUCUGAUAGACCUAGGUUAAAAUUUUGGCUAUGCUACUUGCUAGCUGUUUGAUCUUGGACAAGUUAUUUGAUAUCCCAUGUCUCUUCUGUAAAAGGGGGAUGAUAAAUCCUACCUCGUGGAGUUGUUUCAAAGAUUAAAUAAGAUAUAUGUGUAAA